rnacentral:lncRNA from 1 species
GACCAUACACCAAACAAAUGGUUACAGGAAGCUUUAGAACACCAAAUUAAUCACAAGAGCACAAGCCAAAAACCACAAGUGGAUUGAUUUUCUACUGUUCUGAUUAUGUCUUUCAUUCUUGUCCACCACUCAUGCUCAUAAGUUGAUAAAAAAUGAAUUUUAGUAUGUAUCAUAUACAAAGAGUAUAUACUGGGAAAUUUCACAUCCUUUCCCCUGUAAAAGAAAGCAUGCUAUCUGUAAGAACCCCCACAAGAUCUUUUGAUUUCUUUCCUAGUCACACUGUAAAAUGCUCCUCGCCCAAAGGCUAAGUUGAUUAAUAUAAUAUCAGGCAAAGUUGAUUAAUAUAAUAUCAGGCAAAGUUGAUUAAUAUAACAUCAGUAAUGUUAUUUGGAAUUGAUGUAACACCUUUUAAAUAAUAAUAAUAAUUGCAAAUUAUACCUAUUCUAAAGCAUGUACACAUAACAUUUACUUUAGUAAUCCCAACUGAUACAAGCCAAAUGGCCUCCGGGUUGCUAGAGAGGAUGCUUACGAGUCAAAUGACACUUGAAAACCUCUUGAGGGCUAUCAAAAGGCGUCCAUUUGAUGAAUAUGAUGACUAAGAAGACCAAGGGACGUUAGAGAGGCCAAUGUAAGACCAAACGGGGUUAGAAAGCCCCCGAAAGAGGAGAUAUGCUCCAUCCGCUUUGGAGGUGCGCCCAACCCGCUCUAAAUCUGCUAGAGCAGGUCAAAACAACCCACUACACCCUUGGGAUGCACCCCAUGUGCACCCUAUAUGCUCAAGCAAGUGCCUAAUGGGCUUCUAUGUGUUGCCUUUCCUAAAUGGGUCACAUUUGGGCCCAUAUGAUGUAAUAACUUAGCCUAGACUAUAAAUAGGACUUCUUUUUAUUUUAGCAGGUAGUUUAUGUUGAAUUAUGAAUUUGAACUCUUGUGAUAGUGUGAGGCAAGCGUGGAUUCACUUGUGUUGAUCUUCUGUUUAGAAACGUGGGUUGCUUGGGAAUCGAUUCCCUUAAAGUCUACGUAAGAUUUAGGCGCUUUGUUCGGUUUAGUUGAUUGAGGGUUUAGGGUUUGAUCCACCUUUAUUUGCUUUCAAUUCCUUGCAUUGUGUCUAUUUUAUUGUUUCUCUAUCUAUCUUUAGCUUUCGUAUUCGUAUAGUAGUUUCGUUCUAAGUUGCUCGGACUCGGGUGUGGGUGUCUGAUACGGGCACGGAUCUAGAGGUCGGAUCCUUCACGGUCUUAAUUUAAAGAUUCGGGAAUAUGGAUCUAGGGAUAGAUACGGCUAAAAUAAUCUAAAUAUCUAAAAAUAGAGUUAUAAAACAUAAAUUAUGAGAUAUUAUAUGAAAAAUUUGAGGAAAAAAUGUUGUUCAAGAAGAAAAUCUUGAAAGGAGAUAAAAAGAAAAGUAAUAACAUAGAAAUUUCUAUAUACAAGGUAUUCCAUUUUCUUCAAUUUCACUUUAGCUUUUGUUUUGAUUACAAAAUUUCUUAAAUCUGUCCAGACUUUUUCAGUCGAUUUUGGUCAAAGUACCCAAAAUCAGUUGACCAAAUCGAGUAAGGAUCCCACACCCACACCCACACCCAUGUCGUGUCGACACGGGUGCAGCACCAAAAGUGAAG